AAACAUUACGCAUAUCGGGGGCUGGUUUAUCUAGGGCUGUCGUGAGGUAAUCUAUCCAUUCUCGCCGGGCAGGCCGACAUGUGGUAAUCGUAGAAAGCGCACAGUGCAAUAUGAGAAAAAAGCAAUAACAAUAAGAGCGCGCACGAGUUGCUUUUAAACCGGGAAAUGUACAUGGAACAUUGCAGACUUUACUAAAGCUAAAGAUUGUUUGAUCUCGUGAAACAACCUUAAACCAGCAGAAACCUAAUACUAAUCAAACGCAAGUUUGAACGAAAAUGGAAUUUGGGUUCUCCUGACCCCUGGGAACCGUUGUGAUUUGCCUGGAUUUAAAAGCACAAGUUGCUGACAAAUUGGAUAAACUUGCCCCCCAAUUCGGCCAGCCGACGGUACUGAACUCACUUUCCUUGUAUCCAGAACGAAACGGCGGGUCGUGGAAUUAAACCUGAUUUAUAAGAAUUGAAGGUACACAUGGGGAUCCAGGAAGUGUAAUUCCGGCACGUUUGGAAUGGCUGCAUCUCAAUAGUUUAAAGUGGCUUCAUCUCUUCGCCUCCUUUCCUUCAUCUGCACUGAUGUGAACGAGCUGAACAGGUGAAUACUAUAUCCCGGGUAGGCAUCCUUUAUUGUAUAUCGCUGUACAAUCCUGUGUUAUCUGAUUGGAUUAAAUUGGAGAAGAAAGAUGACCCCCACACACACACAAUAUUACCUUUGCACUUUGCUUGUGUUUAUUUAUAUGUUC